AACUGCUACUAAUGAAAAUUCUCUUAGGGCUUUCGGUGACCUCUGCCUAGGUCUUUGAACAUCUCUCAUCUCUUAGCGUUUAUUUCUAAAUAGCAUCUUUUUGAGAAGGAAGACGGGAACAGAAUACCUAAUAACUCACUCUAGAGAGUGAGUCUGCCUUACAGUGUCAUGGUAUCGGCACUAAAUUUACUUUCUGGUGUUUGCGAGAAAUGGAACAUUAAUUGUGCAGCUACCGUGUGUUAAGAGAACCUAUCCUCGGGAAUUCAUAAUCGAAAGAAGAACAUGAGCUGAUGGCAAUUUUCAUCUAACGAAUGGAUCUCUUACACAUCCCGUGAUCAUCAAAGAAGGAGAUUUUAUGUGGGAAAGUCUUCUGAGAACAAAGCAGAAAAAACACUGAUAAGAAUUACUGAACAUCAAGCUAUGGCUCAUUGCACUGAUUCCAAUGAUAUUCAUUCAAAAGAGGUACCUCUAAGUGAAAAGAAAAACAGGUAUAAAUAAUAGACAUUUGAGAAGUCUUGGUAUAGCAAUUUUUAUGCUUUUCAGAAAUUGUAAAAAUAAAUGCCUCUAAAUGACUGAAUAAAACAUAGUUUGCCUCUU